AUGACCGUCCAUGGUAACAGUAACCGACCAGUAGCUGCUGUCUGCUGCUGACCUCUUAGCAUUCCUAGAGCCCCUUCCAGUACCUUCUGGGGCCUGUAAGAAGGCUGGAGAGGGCCUCUUCCCAAGGGCAGGGAGGGAAGAGGGGCAAUAGCCUUAAGCUGUUUCUAUUGGAUAUUAGGAAGAAGUGCUGAACAAUAAGAGUGGUGAGGCACUGGCACAGGUUGCCCAGAGAGGUUGUGGCUGCCCCAUCCCUGGAAGUGUUGAAGGCCAGGCUUGAUGGGGCUUUGAGCUACAUCGUCUAGUAGAUGCCCCUGCCUAUUGCAGGGGUGUUGGAACGAGAUGAGACUUUAGGUCCCUUCCAAACCUAGCCAUGAUCAAAUUGUCAUCAUGGAAGCAAGCUGGGACACUUCCCCACUGCACUGCAACUGAGGGCUAUGGGUUUUUCAGAAGCAAGAGGCUAGAAAGGGGGUGGGGGGGGUUCAGUAUUAAGGGAACUUCCCUGUCCAACCACCCAAGAGUCACUCUGGAGUCACUCUCACAUCACCUUAUGUGGGACCAAAGGCUUUCCCAGCUGUAUCCUCCACUCUCACACAGUCAGACCACGUUUCCUUAUCAGCUUAAUCCCGGGUUUCCUAUAGCAGAGUCUCAGAUGCCCAGAUCCUCAAAACAGUUUAAUCAUGAUUCAGUAACUAAAUAACAAAAUAACAACUCAAGCUGGUGCCUAGAAAUAUAAAACCAGCAAUAACUGUAUCAUGGCUCUUACUCGUGUUGGCUUGUUAACAGCAGCUGUUUUUGUCUUUUCAGUAAGCGCAAAGAAUAAUUCAUGUUUGUGCAAGACCUUAGAAAUUUCAAAUGACAUUCUAAGUGUUCUUUUCCUGUCAGUUACUUUAAACAUGCUACAUGUCCCUUCAUACCACAUUCACUAAGGGCCACACUGGCCCUUCCAGAAAUACACAUGCUGCAAUAUAGGCAGACAUCAGUGACAAUGAACAAUUCCACUAGCCCAUUAGGGCUGCAAAGCCUUUUGAAAUCAGAUGGCAAUGAACAGGUCCAGUGCUCCACAAUCAAGGGUACCUGUUUAAUGUCACAGUCUGUUCUAUCCAAAAUCAUGGUGCUGUUGUCUUCUGGGACAUCAGGGCCUGCUCCAUCCACAAGACUUUAGUGCAUAAUCAGAGAAUUAAAGAAAAGUGAACCAAGAGGAGUAUAAAGACUGUGAACCUGAACCAACAGGCAUCUACUCAGAGACUUCUGUGAGAAGACCCAGCUCUGCCGGAUGACAAAGCUGACAUCCUCCUCGUCCAUGCUAUCUCGGGAGCAGUGGUGGUUUGUGCACACCCCCACGGGUCCUGUACCUAGACUGUUUCCAAUAAAGCUAAAAUCACUAGAGCUGG